rnacentral:rRNA from 1 species
GACGAACGCUGGCGGCGUGCUUAACACAUGCAAGUCGAACGGAAAGGCCCUGCUUUUGUGGGGUGCUCGAGUGGCGAACGGGUGAGUAACACGUGAGUAACCUGCCCUUGACUUUGGGAUAACUUCAGGAAACUGGGGCUAAUACCGGAUAGGAGCUCCUGCUGCAUGGUGGGGGUUGGAAAGUUUCGGCGGUUGGGGAUGGACUCGCGGCUUAUCAGCUUGUUGGUGGGGUAGUGGCUUACCAAGGGUUUGACGGGUAGCCGGCCUGAGAGGGGGAACGGCCACAUGGGGACUGCGAUACGGCCCAGAAUCCAACGGGAGGCAGCAGGGGGGAAUAUUGCACAAUGGGCGGAAGCCUGAUGCAGCAGCGCCCCGUGCGGGAUGACGUCCUUCGGGUGGUAAACCGCUUUCGCCUGUGACGAAGCGUGAGUGACGGUAAUGGGUAAAGAAGCACCGGCUAACUACGUG